UACGUAGGGAGCAAGCGUUGUCCGGAAUUAUUGGGCGUAAAGGGUAGGUAGGUGGUCUCAUUUGUCUGGGGUGAAAGCCUUGAGCUUAACUCAAGAAGUGCCCCAGAAACGGUGAGACUGGAGUCCUGGAGAGGGUCGUGGAAUUCCCGGUGUAGCGGUGAAAUGCGUAGAGAUCGGGAGGAACACCAGAGGCGAAAGCGGCGACCUGGACAGGCACUGACACUCAACUACGAAAGCGUGGGGAGCAAACAGG
rnacentral:rRNA from 1 species